rnacentral:rRNA from 1 species
AACGAACGCUGGCGGCAUGCCUAACACAUGCAAGUCGAACGAGACCUUCGGGUCUAGUGGCGCACGGGUGCGUAACGCGUGGGAACCUGCCCUUAGGUUCGGAAUAACUCCUCGACAGGGGUGCUAAUACCGGAUAAUUUCUUCUGAUCAAAGAUUUAUCGCCUUUGGAUGGGCCCGCGUUGGAUUAGCUAGUUGGUAGGGUAAAAGCCUACCAAGGCGACGAUCCAUAGCUGGUCUGAGAGGAUGAUCAGCCACACUGGGACUGAGACACGGCCCAGACUCCUACGGGAGGCAGCAGUGGGGAAUAUUGGACAAUGGGCGAAAGCCUGAUCCAGCAAUGCCGCGUGAGUGAUGAAGGCCUUAGGGUUGUAAAGCUCUUUUACCCGGGAUGAUAAUGACAGUACCGGGAGAAUAAGCUCCGGCUAACUCCGUG